rnacentral:tRNA from 1 species
CGGAGAAUAGUCUAAUUAGGAUAUCGGCCUUGGAUGUCGAGGGUGAGGAUUAAAGUUCCUUUUGUUCGA